GGAAAGGUGGCUGAGGGGUUGAAAGCACCGGUUUCGAAAACCGGCAUAGGGGAAACUUUAUCGCGGGUUCAAAUCCCGCCCUUUCCG
rnacentral:tRNA from 1 species